rnacentral:rRNA from 1 species
CGCCCGGUUACUUUCCGAACCCGGAAGCUAAGCCUUAUUGCGCCGAUGGUACUGCGAGGGGGACCUCGUGGGAGAGUAGGACGCCGCCGAAC